GACGAACGCUGGCGGCGUGCUUAACACAUGCAAGUCGAACGGUGAACCUCUUCGGAGGGGCUCAGUGGCGAACGGGUGAGUAACACGUGGGCAACCUGCCCCCGGCUCUGGGAUAACUCCAAGAAAUUGGGGCUAAUACCGGAUGUUCACCGCUUCCCGCAUGGGUGGUGGUGGAAAGGGUCUCCGGCUGGGGAUGGGCCCGCGGCCUAUCAGCUUGUUGGUGGGGUAGUGGCCUACCAAGGCGACGACGGGUAGCCGGCCUGAGAGGGUGACCGGCCACACGGGGCUUGAGGAAGGGCCCGAGCCCCUCGGGGGGGAAGAGGGGGGGAAAUUAGCGAGAGGGGCGGAGGCCGGACGCAGGGCCGCCGGGUGGGGAAGGACGGCUUUCGGGUUUAAAACCUCUUUCAGCAGGAACGAGGCGCAAUGGACGGAACUUACGAAAAAACCACCGGCAACUACGGG
rnacentral:rRNA from 1 species